rnacentral:rRNA from 1 species
UGCCAGCCGCCGCGGUAAUACGGAGGGGGCUAGCGUUGUUCGGAAUUAUUGGGCGUAAAGGGCACGUAGGCGGUCAGGCAAGUUGGUGGUGAAAGCCCUCGGCUCAACCGGGGAAUUGCCCCCAAAACUGCCUGACUUGAGUCCCGGAGAGGGUGGCGGAAUUCCCAGUGUAGCGGUGAAAUGCGUAGAUAUUGGGAGGAACACCAGUGGCGAAGGCGGCUUACUGGACCGGUACUGAUGCUGAGGUACGAAAGCGUGGGGAGCGAACAGGAUUAGAUA